GUGGGGAAUUUUGGACAAUGGGCGCAAGCUUGAUCCAGCAAUGCCGCGUGCAGGAAGAAGGCCUUCGGGUUGUAAACUGCUUUUGUACGGAACGAAACGGUCCGGGUUAAUACCCUGGGCUAAUGACGGUACCGUAAGAAUAAGCACCGGCUAACUACGUGCCAGCAGCCGCGGUAAUACGUAGGGUGCAAGCGUUAAUCGGAAUUACUGGGCGUAAAGCGUGCGCAGGCGGUUUUGUAAGACAGGCGUGAAAGCCCCGGGCUCAACCUGGGAAUUGCGCUUGUGACUGCAAGGCUGGAGUGCGGCAGAGGGGGAUGGAAUUCCGCGUGUAGCAGUGAAAUGCGUAGAUAUGCGGAGGAACACCGAUGGCGAAGGCAAUCCCCUGGGCCUGCACUGACGCUCAUGCACGAAAGCGUGGGGAGCAAACAGGAUUAGAUACCCCAGUAGUCC
rnacentral:rRNA from 1 species